CUAAUGUCUGUGUUUACUCCUAAAUCGUCCUUUCUAGUACAUUCGUUAUUCGUUAGUUUUCUUUUGUACCUUAUAUGGUGUGGUUUUAUUAAUUAUAAAAUAAAUUUUAUUUUCAACUACUCAAUUGUGAACAAAUCAUGAAGAUAAAAGUUGUACUUUUUCGGUAUAUUAGAUUUCCAUGAACCUCUUUUUCUCGGAUGUUUAUUUAUGAUUGUCUAAUCGGGACUUCCUGUACUUUGACUAGUACGCACUCAAGAAUACUACUAUUAAUUGUUAAGGAAAUAGGAAAGGUUGAGGUUCGUUUCGCGUUUAAAACUUUGAGUGUGAGUAUAAAGUGAUCAAUAGAAGUGGUACAACACAUAGAGUUACUAUUGUAAUCCAUUUAUCGUUGAACGAUAACAACAUAUAGUAAAUAAAAAAUAUAUGUAUUUAACUAAAUAUGGUGAUACAUUAAUGUUACUGAUUGCAGAAAAUUAUAAUAUAGAUACAAAUUUUUAAAACUAGGUUAGAUAAAUUUGCAACAAUACAUAAUGGAUAAAACACCAGUAUCUAUUUUACAUGAAAUAAUGGCAAAAAAUCUAGUAAUGCCUAAUUAUGAGCUUAUACAUGAUGGAGGAGGCACGCAUAUAAAUACUUUUACAUAUCGGGUAACAUGUGAAGGUCUUACUGCUACUGGUAUUGGACGUUCUAAAAAGGAUGCAAAGCAUGAAGCUGCAAAGGCAAUGUUAGAAGCUAUUGCAGCACAUAGAGGUCAUCUACAAUUACCAGCAUCGCCAGCACAAUCUUCUGUAAGAACCCCUUUACCACCAACAAUUCCUGAGGUAAAAAGAACUCCACCAGAUGUACCAUUUAUUAAUGCAGUUGGUGCUUUACAAGAUUUAUGUAUUGAAAACAAUUUGCAAGAACCUAAGUAUAAGCAAAUUAAUGAGGUUGGACCUCCACAUGCAAAAAUAUUUAGUAUUCAAUGCACAGUAACAACUUUUAAAGAAACUGGUAUUGCAAGAACAAAAAAGCAAGCUAAACAGGAGGCUGCUAAAAAGAUGUUAGAUAAAAUAAACGAAUUGACAAAUGGCUUAAACAUCGGAACUGAUAAAGACUUAGAUGAAAGGAAAGAUCAUAGUCAAAUUGCUAAAGCUCGAUACCCUGCACUUUCAAGGUUACCUACAUCUAGAAAAAUUAAUUUAGGUGUUAAGAUAUCAGAGUAUCAUUUACAGUUUAAGAAUUUGUUUGAUACUGAAAUGCAGAAAGAACUAACCGAAAAAUUCACAUCUAUCAUUUCACGAAAUGAAAGUCAUAUUUCUGAAGAUUUUGUAGAAGAUCUGCUAAACAAAUUACAAGAUGUCUUGGCAAUCAUGGGGUUAGAUGUAACAACUUCAGUAUUUCCUUCAAUUCUGGAGAAAUUCGUUGUAACUAUGAGAAUAGAUACGUCUCCUAGUAUUGUUGAAUUUGCAAUAGGAGAUACAAAAGCAGAAGCUCAAAUGCAUACAAUAAUAAAAUUGAUUAAAACUUUGAUACUUCUUUUAAAAUAAAGAUAGAAUAACUACACAUAAAAUAAAUAAAUUUCAAAAUAUUCGUGUCAAAGAAUAUGUUUAUAUUGGAAGAAUAAUUGUGUAAUUUUUUUUUUUUUUUUACUAUAUUUUAAUAUAUUAAAGUUAGAUAUCAGUUAAGCUUGCUAUAUCAAUUAAACAAUUUCUAUGGGAGAGAAGGGGGGAGAGAGAGAGAGAGAGGGAGAGAGAGAGAGAGAGAAAAGCGAGGACUUUUUAUUAUAGAUCUUACUUCAAAUAGAAACAUUUAUAUAAUUUUUACUUCUGUUACAAAAUAGUAUAAGCUAUAUAUGGGUGAGAUACUUUAUAAUAUAUAAUAGUGUAUCAUUUUAUAUAUACGUAAAUAUAUAAUAUUUAUGUAGCACACCACAUAAUUGUUACAUAAAUUAAUAAUUUAGUAUAUUAUACACAAUCCUUUGAGAUUAACCACUAUUUUUCAAUCUGCUAAAGAAAUGUUUUCAAUAAAGCUUAGGUAGUUUCGAGUCCGCUACAUACUCGAUAUCAAAAACGUCCAAGAAAAUUUCUUUUCAAUAAAAAAAUUAAGGUUACGUUAACUUUAUUAAAUGGCACUUUAUAUUUUGGAUUUUAUAGAGUUUUAGCUGAUAUUAACACGAAUUCAACAGCUUACCAUACAAUGACCUUGAGAUGACCGAAUUCAGAAAUUUAUGUGCGAUAUACAGUUGUAGUUCAUUGUAAUAUGUAAUAUAAAAAUGUAUUAUCAAUAUCGUUGAAUUUACUCGAUAAAUUUAUUAGUUUGGUAGUUUUAGUCUUAUUUUGAAUAUAUAAUUUAAUCAAAAUAAAAUAAUUUUCCUUAUUGAUGUAAUAUGUAUGUAUUAAUGUGAUAUUCUUAUUGAUGUAAUCUACAUUUCAAAGUUCAAGGUUACUUCAAAAUCAUAGCGCGAUAGGUCAUUGAAUUUAUCUAUCUUAUCGUCAGCUGUGAGUCUGCUAUUUAAAAAAAACUUUCUAUCGAAAAAAAUUUUUUCUUGGAUAUUUUUAAUAUCCAAAUAUAUAGCAGACCUAAAACUAAUUUUUAUCUAAAACAUUUCUUUGGCAAAUUAUAGGAAACUGCCUGAAAAAUGAUGGAUAAUCUCAGAGUAUACACUUGGUAUGUAUAAAUACUUGUAUUAUUUGAAAUUAUUAUAUAUUAUGAAAAGGAUAUUCGAAUAACAUUAAUUGUUCUAUUUAAAAUUAUUAAAUAUGAUGAGCAGAAUUUGAAAUAUGAAAAUAUAAACAUCUAUCCUCUAUCAAGAUGUAAGAAUCUUAAAUUUUCGUUCCGAAAAUACCAAGACGGAUGUAAACAAGUAAUUCAUAUAUUUUUUGAGAAUUAUUAGCCAAAUUUUAUAUAUUACUAUUUACCUUCUAUAUUAAUAUCAUUUAUCUGGUAAUUAAUUCAGAAGACUUAUAUCAAAUCAUUAAGGCAUGAAGGAUGUUAUAUGUAUAUAUCAUAUCGCAUUGGAAUACAAAUAUGUUCACUUUAGAAUUAAGUUAUACAAAUCUUUAAAUCUUUAUCAUUUGUAAUCCAAAAUUUUUUAUUUCUUUUAUAUAAAAUCAGGCUGUAAAAUAAGUGGCAAGAAUGGUAAAAAUUUAAUAAAAACUAUUUUGAAGCAGAA